rnacentral:lncRNA from 13 species
ACAUGGAACUCUAUUCCACAGUACUACAUAGAGCCAUGACUACAUGGAACUCUAUUCCACAGUACUACAUAGAGCCAUGACUACAUGGAACUCUAUUCCACAGUACUACAUAGAGCCAUGACUACAUGGAACUCUAUUCCACAGUACUACAUAGAGCCACGACUACAUGGAACUCUAUUCCACAGUACUACAUAGAGCCAUGACUACAUGGAACUCUAUUACACAGUACUACAUAGAGCCAUGACUACAUGGAACUCUAUUCCACAGUACUACAUAGAACCAUGACUACAUGGAACUCUAUUCCACAUCAGGUAACUGAUGCAGCAGUAGAAUCAGAUUUAAAAACAGAUAAAAAUACACCUUAUGGAACAGCGGGGACUGUGAAGAGACACAAACAAGCACAUGCAUACACACACACAAUAACAUACGCACUAUACAAACAUGUACACAUGGAUUUUGUGUUAUAGAUAAGUGAUAGUAGUAGAGUAGAGGCCUGAGGGCACACACUUAAUAUGUUGUGAAAUCUGUUAUGAAUGUAUUCUAAUGUUUUUAACAUGUAAAACUGCCCUCAUUUUGCUGGAGCCCAGGAAGAGUAGCUGCUGCCUUGGCAGAGUCUUGGAGAGUCACACACAGUUGACCCAUAUAGUGGCCUUCAGAAAGUAUUCAUACCCCUUGACUUAUUUCACAUUUUGUUGUUACAGCCUGAAUUCAAAAUGGAUUCAAUAUGUUUCUCACCCAUUUACACACAAUACCCCAUAAUGACGUCACAAUACCCCAUAAUGACGUCACAAUACCCCAUAAUGACAAAGUGAAAACAUGUUAGCUAAUGUAUUGAGAAUGAAAUACAGAACUCUCAUUUUCAUAAGUAUUCACAGCCCUGAGUUAGAAUCACCUUUGGCACUGAUUACAGCUGUGAGUCUUUCUGGGUCUCUAAGAGCGAUUACAGCUGUGAGUCUUUCUGGGUCUCUAAGAGCGAUUACAGCUGUAGUCGCCCUGGUCUCUAAGAGCGAUUACAGCUGUAGUCGCUCUGGUCUCUAAGAGCGAUUACAGAUGUGAGUUAUUUUUUUAAAUUCUUCAAUUUCUCAGUUCAAGUGCUUCAACUCCGUUUUACCUUGAAUUAGUCCUUUUGUAAGUUUUUCUAGGUAAGCCAUUCUUCAGGCUCUGUCAAGUUGGUUGUUGAUCAUUGCUUAACAGACAUUUCCAAGCCGAUGUAGCCCUUUCCUACAGUCAAAUGACCGAAUGGCCUCAUUGGUGGAAUGUUAGAAAAAAAUGUCCUUUUCUUAUUAUUUUUUAUGCCACAAAUCCGGUGUUUCUAUGUCAAAUGGUUUCGUUAUAGUUCAGUCUUCUGUGAUGUAUAUAAGGUGUAAUAUUGGGAUGCAAACUCUAUAUUAUAUAUUUCAACUUUAUAUCUGACAUGGUACAGGUGUCCUCUUUUUAAGCCCAUAACCAUGUGUGUGUUUUGUUUUAAAGUAGAUUUAUUUAAGACUACCAAUAAACACUGUGAUUCUGAUUUAGCCCACUGCAGUAAAAGGCUCAAUCAAAACUGUGACGAGGCCACUCAGGAACAUUUAAUGUCGUCUUGGUAAACAAUGCCAGUGUAGAUUUGACCUUUUGUUCUAGGUUAUUGUCCUGCUGAGAGCUGAAUUUGUCUCCCAGUUUUUUCCCAGGUUGUCCUCUAGGAAUUUGCCUGUGUUUGGCUCUAUUCAGUUUCUCUUUAUCCUAGAAAAAUUCCUUGCCGAUGACAAGCAUACCCAUAACAUGAUGCAGCCACCACCAUGCUUGAAAAUAUGAAGAGUGGUACUCAGUGAUGUGUUUGCCCAAAAAAAUAAAGCUUUGUAUUCAGGACAGAAAGUUAAUUUCUUUGCCACAUUUUUUGCAGUUUUACUUUAGUGCCUUGUUGCAAACAGGAUGCUUGUUUUGGAAUAUAUUUAUUAUGUUCUGGUUUCCUUCUUUUCACUCUGUCAGUUAGGUUGGUAUUGUGGAGUAACUACAAUGUUGUUGAUCCAUCCUCUGUUUCUCCUAUCACAGCCAUUGAACUCUGUGACUGUU